AGGACAGGUGGUGGCAUGUUGUCGUCAGCUCGUGUCGUGAGAUGUUGGGUUAAGUCCCGCAACGAGCGCAACCCCUGUGGUUAGUUGCCAGCAAGUAGCGUUGGGCACUCUAGCCAGACUGCCGGUGAUAAAUCGGAGGAAGGUGGGGACGACGUCAAAUCAUCAUGCCCUUUAUGUCCUGGGCUACACACGUACUACAAUGGCCGUUACAACGGGAAGCGAAGGAGCAAUCCGGAGCAAAUCCCUUAAAGGCGGUCCCAGUUCAGAUUGUGGGCUGAAACUCGCCCACAUGAAGGCGGAAUUGCUAGUAAUUGCAGAUCAGCAUGCUGCAGUGAAUACGUUCCCGGGCCUU
rnacentral:rRNA from 1 species